GACGAACGCUGGCGGCGUGCUUAACACAUGCAAGUCGAACGGAAAGGCCCUGCUUUUGUGGGGUGCUCGAGUGGCGAACGGGUGAGUAACACGUGAGUAACCUGCCCUUGACUUUGGGAUAACUUCAGGAAACUGGGGCUAAUACCGGAUAGGAGCUCCUGCUGCAUGGUGUGGGUUGGAAAGUUUCGGCGGUUGGGGAUGGACUCGCGGCUUAUCAGCUUGUUGGUGGGGUAGUGGCUUACCAAGGCUUUGACGGGUAGCCGGCAUGAGAGGGUGACCGGCAACAUGGGGACUGAGAUACGGCCCAGAAUCCAACGGGAGGCAGCAGUGGGGAAUAGUGCACAAUGGGCGGAAGCCUGAUGCAGCAACGCCGCGUGCGGGAUGACGGCCUUCGGGUUGUAAACCGCUUUCGCCUGUGACGAAGCGUGAGUGACGGUAAUGGGUAAAGAAGCACCGGCUAACUACGUG
rnacentral:rRNA from 1 species